GGAAAUAAGCGGGCGCCCCGGAAGUUGAAGGGCGUGUUUUGCUAGCUUGGUUUCCUCAACAUGGCGGCGCCCUUGUGUGUGGAGGUGGAGUUCGGAGGUGGUGCUGAGCUCCUGUUCGAUGGAGUAAAAAAACAUCAAGUCACCUUGCCUGGGCAAGAGGGACCCUGGGACAUCCGGAACCUCCUUGUCUGGAUCAAGAAGAACUUGCUAAAAGAGCGGCCAGAGCUGUUCAUCCAGGGAGAGAGUGUGCGGCCAGGAAUUCUGGUGCUGAUUAAUGAUGCCGACUGGGAACUGCUGGGCUAUUCCUGUCUUUCAUCUCAAAUGAGGAGGAAUUGAAUGUCUGCUGGGGAGGGAGGCAGGGAGCUCACCCAUCCUGGAGAUUUGAAAGUCCAUGUGUAGAAUCUCCAUUUUUCUGGGGGAGCUGGACUACCAGCUGCAAGACCAGGACAGCAUCCUCUUCAUCUCCACACUGCACGGCGGCUAAGGGCUCUUGUGAGCCCAAGCACCUUUGCAAGGGGAGCACAGGACAACCACACCUCCUCUUGGACACUACUUCUAGGUCCUCAGUCCCCCUUGGCUGCCUCUUUCUCUGCUGUAUCCCUGAGCUCCCUCUAGGCAGAGAAAAGAGGCCAGGUGCUAAAAAUGAGCCUUUCUGGGCAAGGCACAUGAGCAGGGAAGGAGAGCAGAUGCCUGAGCCCAGCAUUCCUUCUAGCAGUUGAGGUGGGGGAGGGUGCUCCUGUGAUAUGUCAGGAGUGGAGGGAGCUCUAUGCCCAGGUGACCCAGCUGCUUGCCACUCCUUGUGUCUUGGUAUAUCUAAGCACUAAGUAACUAACUGCCUGGAAAGCACUCCAUUUCCUGAGACAUCUUCAUGGGCAAGAUGGAUGAACUGGAGUAACUGAUGAGAAGCUCCUCUCUUGCCAAAGAUUAGAGGGGCCUCCGCCUCAGUUUCCCCAUCUGGACAUUGAGGACUCUGCUUGGCCCCUACUGAUGUCAUUAUGGAUCCCCAGCUGGGGUCCCCUAUUCAGUGCUCCCCUCCCUCCCCUCCACCCAGCAGCUGCUCUCCUAGCCACACCCCUCCUUCUGCCCCCCAUCCCCAGCCCUUGACCCUGGCUGGCCUUCCCCCCCCCCCUUACAUAGGCCACCAGAUGGGCUCCUGAGACACUCUCCAGGCUGCCUACAACUCCCUCUGCUGAGGGUAGAGAAUGGAAGUAAGUAGCCUAACCUUAGACAGUGGGCAGGGCCUCAGUGAGUGUAACUCCCAGCUUCCUGAGACAGGCAGGGUUUGGGUGUGCAGCACCUGGUAGAUAGAGAGCUGUGCCCCUCCAUCCCUUCUGAAAAUCUGAGGACAUUGUGCCUACGACAGCUGACCUUGGGCAAAUAAAAAGACUAGAUUGUUUACUA